rnacentral:rRNA from 1 species
GAGGAAGGCGAUGGCGUAAAUAGCGCUAUCGAUUGACGUUACCCGCAGAAGAAGCACCGGCUAACUCCGUGCCAGCAGCCGCGGUAAUACGGAGGGUGCGAGCGUUAAUCGGAAUUACUGGGCGUAAAGCGUACGCAGGCGGUCUGUUAAGUCAGAUGUGAAAUCCCCGGGCUCAACCUGGGAACUGCAUUUGAAACUGGCAGGCUAGAGUCUCGUAGAGGGGGGUAGAAUUCCAGGUGUAGCGGUGAAAUGCGUAGAGAUCUGGAGGAAUACCGGUGGCGAAGGCGGCCCCCUGGACGAAGACUGACGCUCAGGUACGAAAGCGUGGGGAGCAAACAGGAUUAGAUACCCUGGUAGUCCACGCUGUAAACGAUGUCGAUUUGAAGGUUGUGGCCUUGAGCCGUGGCUUUCGGAGCUAACGCGUUAAAUCGACCGCCUGGGGAGUACGGCCGCAAGGUUAAAACUCAAAUGAAUUGACGGGGGCCCGCACAAGCGGUGGAGCAUGUGGUUUAAUUCGAUGCAACGCGAAGAACCUUACCUACUCUUGACAUCCAGAGAACUUGGCAGAGAUGCUUUGGUGCCUUCGGGAGCUCUGAGACAGGUGCUGCAUGGCUGUCGUCAGCUCGUGUUGAGAAAUGUUGGGUUAAGG